rnacentral:tRNA from 1 species
GCGCCGAUAGUAUGCGGGCCUUUCGAGCCCGUGACCCGGGUUCAAAUCCCGGCCGCGGCA